GUUCUAGUCGUUUUCAAGCACGUAUCAUCCACAAUGUGGCAGUAAACUACUUUGCAACAAUGGAUUAGCCAAGACACAAGCCGACACUGUUGAAAAACUUGCACUACACACUUAAUUGCAGGAUGUCAUUUGGAGAGAGCUGAGCUAUAAAGACUUUUAUGCUAAGUCAAAAUUGGAUUUUACUUCCGGAUGGCUUGGAGAAUCAGCACAAAAGUACAAAUCAGCACAAAUGAUACUACGAAGCAAGGACUAUUAGGUGAUCAAAGGAUAUUCGAAUCAUCUAUAUGCUUUCGAAGCUAUAGCUCGUUUUCAAUAGCAGGCAAUUCUAAUUUUUAAGCGUUUG